rnacentral:lncRNA from 1 species
AAAUGAAGGAAACCUUCUCCAUAUCUAAAGUUGUAUCCGAUACAGGCCCUGGUACACUGGGAAUGGAGCCAAAACUUCCCAGAAAGGCGUGGGUUCUUUAGAGAGGGAAGAUGCUGUAGGAUACUCUCCAACCUUCAGAGCUGCUGACAGUUAGUAGGGGAUUUCCUCUCUGGGCUGGCAGGUGCAACAGAUAGACUUUCUGGACAGUGCAGCUGGCUGGGUCCUGCAGAUGUCCCAGGAUGCUGUGAAAGCACUACAGGCAGGGGGUAGAGCUGCAGCUGGACUAUGGAGGCAAAGCUCAGCCAGGCAGCUGCUGAGACAUCACCUCCCUCUGCACCUGGAGAGGCUCCAGAUUCUGAUGGAACAGACGCAGAGUGAGCUGCAAAGCUGCCCACCAGAUACUGAAGUGGGCAGAAGCCAAAUUCUCCAGAGCAAUAAGAAGACUACGGAAACCCUUGUCCAGCAUUUACAGCUUCUCUGCGAGGUAAUGGGGGUGAAGGACACAUUUUUAUUGUUGUCG